UACGUAGGCAGCGAGCGUUGUUCGGAAUUACUGGGCGUAAAGCGCGUGUAGGCGGCACUACAAGUCGGAUGUGAAAUCCCCGCGGCUUAACCGUGGAAGUGCACCCGAAACUGUAGAGCUAGAGUCCCGGAGAGGAUGGUGGAAUACUUGGUGUAGAGGUGAAAUUCGUAGAUAUCAAGUGGAACACCGGUGGCGAAGGCGGCCAUCUGGACGGUGACUGACGCUGAGACGCGAAAGCGUGGGUAGCAAACAGG
rnacentral:rRNA from 1 species